GACGAACGCUGGCGGCGUGCCUAAUACAUGCAAGUCGAACGAACUCUGGUAUUGAUUGGUGCUUGCAUCAUGAUUUACAUUUGAGUGAGUGGCGAACUGGUGAGUAACACGUGGGAAACCUGCCCAGAAGCGGGGGAUAACACCUGGAAACAGAUGCUAAUACCGCAUAACAACUUGGACCGCAUGGUCCGAGUUUGAAAGAUGGCUUCGGCUAUCACUUUUGGAUGGUCCCGCGGCGUAUUAGCUAGAUGGUGAGGUAACGGCUCACCAUGGCAAUGAUACGUAGCCGACCUGAGAGGGUAAUCGGCCACAUUGGGACUGAGACACGGCCCAAACUCCUACGGGAGGCAGCAGUAGGGAAUCUUCCACAAUGGACGAAAGUCUGAUGGAGCAACGCCGCGUGAGUGAAGAAGGGUUUCGGCUCGUAAAACUCUGUUGUUAAAGAAGAACAUAUCUGAGAGUAACUGUUCAGGUAUUGACGGUAUUUAACCAGAAAGCCACGGCUAACUACGUGCCAGCAGCCGCGGUAAUACGUAGGUGGCAAGCGUUGUCCGGAUUUAUUGGGCGUAAAGCGAGCGCAGGCGGUUUUUUAAGUCUGAUGUGAAAGCCUUCGGCUCAACCGAAGAAGUGCAUCGGAAACUGGGAAACUUGAGUGCAGAAGAGGACAGUGGAACUCCAUGUGUAGCGGUGAAAUGCGUAGAUAUAUGGAGGAACACCAGUGGCGAAGGCGGCUGUCUGGUCUGUAACUGACGCUGAGGCUCGAAAGUAUGGGUAGCAAACAGGAUUAGAUACCCUGGUAGUCCAUACCGUAAACGAUGAAUGCUAAGUGUUGGAGGGUUUCUGCCCUUCAGUGCUGCAGCUAACGCAUUAAGCAUUCCGCCUGGGGAGUACGGCCGCAAGGCUGAAACUCAAAGGAAUUGACGGGGGCCCGCACAAGCGGUGGAGCAUGUGGUUUAAUUCGAAGCUACGCGAAGAACCUUACCAGGUCUUGACAUACUAUGCAAAUCUAAGAGAUUAGACGUUCCCUUCGGGGACAUGGAUACAGGUGGUGCAUGGUUGUCGUCAGCUCGUGUCGCGAGAUGUUGGGUUAAGUCCCGCAACGAGCGCAACCCUUAUUAUCAGUUGCCAGCAUUAAGUUGGGCACUCUGGUGAGACUGCCGGUGACAAACCGGAGGAAGGUGGGGAUGACGUCAAAUCAUCAUGCCCCUUAUGACCUGGGCUACACACGUGCUACAAUGGAUGGUACAACGAGUUGCGAACUCGCGAGAGUAAGCUAAUCUCUUAAAGCCAUUCUCAGUUCGGAUUGUAGGCUGCAACUCGCCUACAUGAAGUCGGAAUCGCUAGUAAUCGCGGAUCAGCAUGCCGCGGUGAAUACGUUCCCGGGCCUUGUACACACCGCCCGUCACACCAUGAGAGUUUGUAACACCCAAAGUCGGUGGGGUAACCUUUUAGGAACCAGCCGCCUAAGGUGGGACAGAUGAUUAGGGUG
rnacentral:rRNA from 1 species